rnacentral:sRNA from 1 species
AAUUGUUUUUCAAUUGCCUUAAAAGGGAAUCCGGUGCAAAUCCGGAGCGGUCCCGCCACUGUAACAAGGAGCCUUAUGUCAAAAAAGCCACUGUCUAUUUAGAGACGGGAAGGCGGUAUAAGGCAGUGACUU